rnacentral:rRNA from 1 species
CACGUAGGUGGCAUCGUAAGUCAAAGGUGAAAGCCCUCGGCUCAACCGGGGAAUUGCCUUUGAAACUGCGUUGCUUGAGUCCGGGAGGGGGGAGCGGAAUUCCCAGUGGAGCGGUGAAAUGCGUAGAUACUGGGAGGAACACCGGUGGCGAAGGCGGCUCCCUGGACCGGUACUGACACUGAGGUGCGAAAGCGUGGGUAGCAAAC